UUUCUCUGUUCUUUUUUGUACAUUUACUCAGAUUAUAAUUGAUAGACUGUGAUGUAUGCCUCUCUUUUGCUUCUUUGCAGAAUUGAUUUUAAGAUAAGAACUAUAUUUUGAGCUUAAUGGCAAAAGCGGCAUGCUCCAGAUUUGGGAUACGGCUGGUCAAGAACGUUGCUGAAUCAUCACCACUGCUUAUUACGGAGGGGCAAUGGGAAUUUUUGCAGCUGGAUGAUGUCACAGACGAACCAUCCGUCAACAGUAGUUUUGCUGCUGUCUAAACAUGACAUCUUUUUUCUUACAUUUUUGCUUUGUUUUUGAACCUGUUUUCUUGAUCUUAUUGCAAAGCUUAAGAACUGGAUUCGUAAUAUCAAACAGCCUGCUUCAGAUGAUGUUGAGAAGAUAUUGUUAGGGAACAAACCCCGCAGUAACGCAAGUGCAUUCAUACUGAUUUACAACUUCAUGAUUCACGACUAAUCAAAUUAAUAGCGUUUUUGACAACUUUUUUUGGCAGACUGCCAAAAUCAAUAGGUCAAGCACUUGCUGAUAAAUACAGUUUUGUUAAAAAGGAAGCCAAGCAUUGUCUCUUCAGAUCAACUUAGACUACUACAUUGUUCGUAUUCGUUUUGCAAGUUUCAGAACUUGCUACUUUUAUGGUUAAAACAGAUAAGGGCCAGAAUCUCUGGUUUUGAGCUUUGGGUGUACUGAGAAAUAUGUGACACAAGAGAAUGUGAUGGAGUUUCUUCUGUCUAGGUCAGAGGAAUUGAAACAAAGAGGAAUGGAUAUGUCAAUGCUAUCUGAAUUGAUAAAUGAAAUCUUAAAAAAUAAUAAGUAUCUGUUAUGACACAUUAUAAAUGAGAAAAUUUCAAAAAAUAUGACAAUAUUAUUUUAGUGCAUAGUUGCAUCCAGCACUAACAUAUGAUGAUGUUCAAAGAGGUUAGGAGCCUUUGUUGUCUCCGUUUUUCAAAAAAAUAGUGAUUUUAUAGUGGUUAUUCCAUCAA